rnacentral:rRNA from 1 species
GGGUUGUGAGGUUAAGCGACUAAGCGUACACGGUGGAUGCCCUGGCAGUCAGAGGCGAUGAAGGGCGUACUAAUCUGCGAUAAGCGCCGGUAAGGUGAUAUGAACCGUUAUAACCGGCGAUACCCGAAUGGGGAAACCCAGUGUGAUUCGUCACACUAUCAUUAACUGAAUCCAUAGGUUAAUGAGGCGAACCGGGGGAACUGAAACAUCUAAGUACCCCGAGGAAAAGAAAUCAACCGAGAUUCCCCCAGUAGCGGCGAGCGAACGGGGAGGAGCCCAGAGCCUGAAUCAGCAUGUGUGUUAGUGGAAGCGUCUGGAAAGGCGCGCGAUACAGGGUGACAGCCCCGUACACAAAAGCGCAUGUGCUGUGAGCUCGAUGAGUAGGGCGGGACACGUGGUAUCCUGUCUGAAUAUGGGGGGACCAUCCUCCAAGGCUAAAUACUCCUGACUGACCGAUAGUGAACCAGUACCGUGAGGGAAAGGCGAAAAGAACCCCGGCGAGGGGAGUGAAAAAGAACCUGAAACCGUGUACGUACAAGCAGUGGGAGCACCCUUUGGGUGUGACUGCGUACCUUUUGUAUAAUGGGUCAGCGACUUAUAUUCUGUAGCAAGGUUAACCGAAUAGGGGAGCCGGAGGGAAACCGAGUCUUAACCGGGCGUUAAGUUGCAGGGUAUAGACCCGAAACCCGGUGAUCUAGCCAUGGGCAGGUUGAAGGUUGGGUAACACUAACUGGAGGACCGAACCGACUAAUGUUGAAAAAUUAGCGGAUGACCUGUGGCUGGGGGUGAAAGGCCAAUCAAACCGGGAGAUAGCUGGUUCUCCCCGAAAGCUAUUUAGGUAGCGCCUCGUGAAUUCAUCUCCGGGGGUAGAGCACUGUUUCGGCUAGGGGGCCAUCCCGGCUUACCAACCCGAUGCAAACUGCGAAUACCGGAGAAUGUUAUCACGGGAGACACACGGCGGGUGCUAACGUCCGUCGUGAAGAGGGAAACAACCCAGACCGCCAGCUAAGGUCCCAAAGUCAUGGUUAAGUGGGAAACGAUGUGGGAAGGCCCAGACAGCCAGGAUGUUGGCUUAGAAGCAGCCAUCAUUUAAAGAAAGCGUAAUAGCUCACUGGUCGAGUCGGCCUGCGCGGAAGAUGUAACGGGGCUAAACCAUGCACCGAAGCUGCGGCAGCGACACUGUGUGUUGUUGGGUAGGGGAGCGUUCUGUAAGCCUGUGAAGGUGUGUCGUGAGGCAUGCUGGAGGUAUCAGAAGUGCGAAUGCUGACAUAAGUAACGAUAAAGCGGGUGAAAAGCCCGCUCGCCGGAAGACCAAGGGUUCCUGUCCAACGUUAAUCGGGGCAGGGUGAGUCGACCCCUAAGGCGAGGCCGAAAGGCGUAGUCGAUGGGAAACGGGUUAAUAUUCCCGUACUUGGUGUUACUGCGAAGGGGGGACGGAGAAGGCUAUGUUGGCCGGGCGACGGUUGUC